rnacentral:rRNA from 1 species
GACGAACGCUGGCGGCGUGCUUAACACAUGCAAGUCGAACGGAAAGGCCCUGCUUUUGUGGGGUGCUCGAGUGGCGAACGGGUGAGUAACACGUGAGUAACCUGCCCUUGACUUUGGGAUAACUUCAGGAAACUGGGGCUAAUACCGGAUAGGAGCUCCUGCUGCAUGGUGGGGGUUGGAAAGUUUCGGCGGUUGGGGAUGGACUCGCGGCUUAUCCGCUUGUUGGUGGGGUAGUGGCUUACCAAGGCUUUGACGGGUAGCCGGCCUGAGAGGGUGACCGGCCACAUUGGGACUGGGAUACGGCCCGAACUCCUACGGGAGGCAGCAGUGGGGAAUAUUGCACAAUGGGCGGAAGCCUGAUGCAGCAACGCCGCGUGCGGGAUGACGGCCUUCGGGUUGUAAACCGCUUUCGCCUGUGACGAAGCGUGAGUGACGGUAAUGGGUAAAGAAGCACCGGCUAACUACGUG